CCGGGGGGAGUAUGGUCGCAA
rnacentral:siRNA from 1 species